UACGUAGGGUCCGAGCGUUGUCCGGAAUCAUUGGGCGUAAAGAGCGUGUAGGCGGCUUGUUAAGUCUUGCGUGAAAUCUCGGGGCUCAACCCCGAGCGGUCGUGAGAAACUGGCAGGCUAGAGUGCGGGAGAGGAGAGUGGAAUUCCUGGUGUAGCGGUGAAAUGCGCAGAUAUCAGGAAGAACACCCGUGGCGAAGGCGGCUCUCUGGAACGAAACUGACGCUGAGACGCGAAAGCGUGGGGAGCAAACAGG
rnacentral:rRNA from 1 species